rnacentral:rRNA from 1 species
ACGGGAGGCAGCAGUGAGGAAUAUUGGUCAAUGGGCGGAAGCCUGAACCAGCCAAGUCGCGUGAAGGAUGAAGGUAUUAUGUAUUGUAAACUUCUUUAGCAGCAGAGUAAUAAGGGAGUCGUGACUCCUGAUGCAAGUAUGCUGAAAAUAAGGAUCGGCUAACUCCGUGCCAGCAGCCGCGGUAAUACGGAGGAUCCGAGCGUUAUCCGGAUUUAUUGGGUUUAAAGGGUGCGCAGGCGGCUUUUUAAGUCAGCGGUUAAAUCGUGAGGCUCAACCUCAUCUCGCCGUUGAUACUGGAGAGCUUGAUUGCGGUCGAGGUUGGCGGAAUUCGUCGUGUAGCGGUGAAAUGCAUAGAUAUGACGAAGAAUACCGAUUGCGUAGGCAGCUGACCAGACCGUAAAUGACGCUCAUGCACGAAAGUGCGGGGAUCGAACAGGAUUAGAUACCCUGGU